rnacentral:rRNA from 1 species
AGCAGUCGCCACGGUAAUACGUAGGUGGCAAGCGUUGUCCGGAAUUAUUGGGCGUAAAGCGCGCGCAGGCGGAUCAGUCAGUCUGUCUUAAAAGUUCGGGGCUUAACCCCGUGAGGGGAUGGAAACUGCUGAUCUAGAGUAUCGGAGAGGAAAGUGGAAUUCCUAGUGUAGCGGUGAAAUGCGUAGAUAUUAGGAAGAACACCAGUGGCGAAGGCGACUUUCUGGACGAAAACUGACGCUGAGGCGCGAAAGCCAGGGGAGUGAACGGGAUUAGAUACCCCUGUAGUCCCUGUCUCUUAUACA